AGUCUCUCCUUGGGUCUGCUGCAGAGCACCUGUUCUGACUUGCUGUCGCUGUAGGGCUUCCCUCUGGGAGUCAUUUUUGUUUUUGCGCCUUGUGUUCUGUGUUUUGUUCGUAAUGUUUGUAGCGUGCCUGUGUGUGUGUUUGGCCUGGAGCUGUCCUGCCUGGCAGUUAGUGAUGGUAGCUAACGUGGCGGUCCAUCGGUGUACUAAUGCAUUGUCCGGACUGUUUUGGCAAAGACAUCCGGUCUGCCUCUGGGCACGUACUGAAGGGCAGCUGGCACAGAGUCAUCUCAGUGGUGUUUGGCAGAUGUGGAGGGGGAGACCUGAGCUGCUUGCAAGCAGCUGUUUGCAUAGUGCUUGAAUAGUGCUAGAGGAGAGGUCUGUCGUUGAAUCUUGAAGGCUCGCAGAUGUGGAGUGUUUUUUUUCUUUCUUUCCCCACCCCAGUAGAGGGUAAACCGUAGGAGGAACCGGUCACAGGAAAGAGCUCCUUCUGGAGCUGUCAAGCUCUUGUUUGGCAGCUUGGUGACUGGCUUGGUCUACUUCUGAGGUGCCGAGGCAAGUUGUCUGCUGUUUUGAAACGGUAACAUUGGCAAUGGGGUCCCUUGUGUUGUUGAGGGAUGGGUGCUAAUGCUGACAGCUGAAUGAUUAUCUUCUGACUGUUUUCAUUUGUUAAAGCUUAAACGCAGUGUACAACCUGGGACGUCACACCCAGAGCUGCCUCUGGCAAGAGGUGUUGUAGCUGGCUUAAGAGGGUAGAUGGAAGCAUCUGCCUCGGGGUAGGUGUCUCGCAGAGGUUCAAAGGAGCAAACUGCAUUCUGAAGAGCUGCGUAAGUGCCAUGGCAGGCUUUCCACACAAGUGGCUGAGGACUUGAGAUGAGACCGGAGAGUGACAAGGAGCAGCACGUGCAGGGAUGGUUUCCAAGCGCUGCGGUCGUUUUCUCUUCUGUUCAUCAGGUGCCACAGGCAAGGUGAAGAGGUGCCUGGAGCCCCAUGUCAUCUAGCCUGCGUGUGCCUUGAGGAUGAAGCCUGCUUUCCAGCAGUCCCUAAAGCUAAGUUUGGCCUGAAAUGCCCUGUCUGUGUCUUGGGUGGGGUUGUACCUUGGUGUCUGUGUGAUAUGUGCAUGGGGAUGGCUUUUAAAUCAGUGCAGCAGAGGAACAGAAUCCAGUAACAACUGGGUGAAGAGGCCCUGGGUUCAUCCUUUUCAGCCUAGUGUGUGCCAGGCAGGGCAGUUCCAGCAUGUGUUCUAUGGUGUAUGUUUGUUUCUGUGUACUAUAGUAUCCAUUUAUCAGGUCUUGUUCCCAUAGUUCUUGGCCUCUGCAGUGCUUGCUGAGCACCGUAUCAUGGGUCUUAAAUGUAUUGUCAGGUUGGCACGGGACUAGUAAUGAAGUGUUUCUUGUCUUUCAUUGGGACUUUAAAAGGCUGAUCUCUCUCCAGAGCUUGAUGUAGUCUACAUUUCUUGAUGGCAGCCAUCAUGGCCCUCAGUCUUGGGCUUGUGUAUAUUCAUGUACGGUUUGGGAGCCUGGCUCCAUGUGGUUUGGGGUCCCGGUUCUGUGGUUUUGGACUACUGUUUCUGGUUUGGGGGGGCGGGUGUGGGUGGCUCUCUGCGUGGUGCUGCCCCGGCGCCGCGUGGUACCGCCCCGGCCGAGUUGGAGCAUGUGAGCAGCUGAAGAAAAAGAGCUAGUGAAAGAGAGGUAUUGCAGCAAGUAGGCUGUGCCUGUGAGGUGCCUGAGGAUCUGCCUUUUCUUUUUUUUUUUUUUCUUUUGUGGGUGCUUCCUGCAGUCUUGGAGAGGUGAAUCCCCACAUCGUGGAGUGCUGAGAAAAGGCAAGAGGGUCGUCAGCCCAGUCAGUGUCCCUAAGCAAUGACCCCUAAGGCAAGUCUUCGAAGUGUUUCCACUCUGUUUUAGUAGGUGCUGUGGCAGGCCUUCCUCAGAAUCUGCUGAGGGUCUGAGGUGGUGUAGGUGACACUGGCUGUACUGUUGGAGCUUGGACUCAGAGGAAUGGAUGAUGAUAAGCCUGGCAAUGGGCUAAGAUGUCUCUCAGUGGCUGUGCAUUUCUUGAGGUGGAGGGAAUUUACCAUCCAGCAAUCUGAGAGCUAAGUUGAGGGGCACCUGGUAUUUGCAUGUGUGGAGUGGCUGGUGGGAGCUGGGAGCCAGAGCAGCAUGGAGCCAGCUGGCUGAAUAUACUUGGUGCCACUGUGAGGGUGGUUCAGGCUGGGUCACCUUCAGGCUGCUUGAGGCUGGGUCACCAGGCUAAUAGAAGGAGCAGGGGGUAUUUUGUAGUGUGAGUGUAUGCGCCAGGCAGGACAGUUCCCAUCUGUCUUGUAGUGCUGCUUCUGCAGCGUGUGUUCUGUGUUAUGCGCUCCUCGGGUCUCGAUAUCCUCCUUGCUUCUUGCACUGGACUGACUAGACUGGCAACUUGGUAGCAGCGCCAAAGGUCCUAAACGCUUGUUUUGUCAUCGUGGGUCUGAUCCGAGCACUUCUUGUCUUGCAGUUGCAGGCUAAAGUGCAGAUCUGUUUCAGGUCUUGUGCAUCAUAUUCAGUUUCAGAUCGCAUCUGUUUCCAUCCUCACUCUUGCAGAAGUCAUCUGGGUCGCAUCAGGAGCUCUUGCUUGGGAGUUCAUUUCCGAAGCAUUUUUCUUAUGGGGUUUGCACUCCCCAUCCUUCUGGUCUCUUGUCUUAAAGGCAGGCUUUUUAUGCCUCCAUCAUCCCAGUUCUGGCAGUUGCUUCCAGUCGCAUGUUGUGACAUUUGAGUCUCUCCUUGGGUUUGCUGCAGAGCACCUGUUCUGACUUGCUGUCGCUGUAGGGCUUCCCUCUGGGAGUCAUUUUUGUUUUUGCGCCUUGUGUUCUGUGUUUUGUUCGUAAUGUUUGUAGCGUGCCUGUGUGUGUGUUUGGCCUGGAGCUGUCCUGCCUGGCAGUUAGUGAUGGUAGCUAACGUGGCGGUCCAUCGGUGUACUAAUGCAUUGUCCGGACUGUUUUGGCAAAGACAUCCGGUCUGCCUCUGGGCACGUACUGAAGGGCAGCUGGCACAGAGUCAUCUCAGUGGUGUUUGGCAGAUGUGGAGGGGGAGACCCGAGCUGCUUGCGAGCAGCUGUUUGCAUAGUGCUUGAACAGUGUGCUGGAGGAGGUCUGUUGAAUCUUGAAAGCUCGCAGAUAUGUGGUUUUGAAUUUUUUCUUUCUUUCCCCACCCCAGUAGAGGGUAAACCUUAGGAGGAACCGGUCACAGGAAAGAGCUCCUUCUGGAACUGUCAAGCACUUGUUGAAACACAGUGUACAACACGGGACUUCACGACCGGAGCUGCUUUUGGCAAGGUGAGCGAUGAACAGAUGUAGCAGUUAUUUUAGGGUUGCUGUUGUCACUGCACUUUCUUAACUACACAAAAUACAGUUAAAGUCCUGUUUAUAUUCCAGAGGUGUUGUAGCUGGCUUAAGAGAGCAGAUGGAAGCAUCUGCCUCGAGGGCAGGUGAGGGGGCAGAGUAGGGGAGCGGAUGAGAGUACCUGUCCUAGCUGUGCUGCGGCUUUGGAUGCUGCCGCGGCCUAUGCUUUUCUUUUUCUUUCGCAGGUGCCUUGCACAGACUCAGAGGGGCCAAGCUGCACUCCUGAAGAGCAGCACAAGAAGGGCAGGCUGGUCGUGAGUGGGGUUGGAGCAGGAUGGCCAAGUAGCGCAAGGUGAUUGCGAAGGGUAUCCAUCUUGCUUUGCAGGUGCAAUGGCAGGCUUUCCACAGAAGUGGCUGAGGAUUUGAGAAGAGGUUACAGAGCAUCAAGGAGCGGCACGUGCAGUGAUGGCUUCCAAGCGGUGAAGAGGUGCCUGAAGCCCCAUCCUGUCUAGCCUGCGCACACCUCACUAAGAAUGAAAGCUGCUUUCCAGUAAUUCAGACAGCCAAGUUACGUCUCAGCCUCGAGCAUCUGGGGACUGUGCCUGUGUUUUUGGGCCUGUCUGUAGCAUUUGGCACCUGCAUUAAUACUUUCUUGGCAUACGUGCAGGCUUCUGGGGCCUGUGUCUUGGG